rnacentral:rRNA from 1 species
CAAUCAAACCGGGAGAUAGCUGGUUCUCCCCGAAAGCUAUUUAGGUAGCGCCUCGUGAAUUCAUCUCCGGGGGUAGAGCACUGUUUCGGCUAGGGGGCCAUCCCGGCUUACCAACCCGAUGCAAACUGCGAAUACCGGAGAAUGUUAUCACGGGAGACACACGGCGGGUGCUAACGUCCGUCGUGAAGAGGGAAACAACCCAGACCGCCAGCUAAGGUCCCAAAGUCAUGGUUAAGUGGGAAACGAUGUGGGAAGGCCCAGACAGCCAGGAUGUUGGCUUAGAAGCAGCCAUCAUUUAAAGAAAGCGUAAUAGCUCACUGGUCGAGUCGGCCUGCGCGGAAGAUGUAACGGGGCUAAACCAUGCACCGAAGCUGCGGCAGCGAACGUAUCACCCAAGACAACUUUACGGAGUUGACGAUUGACGGAGCGAAGCGACGUCAAAGCGUUCAUUAAAGUCGAGUUGGCUUAGGGAUACGUUCGUUGGGUAGGGGAGCGUUCUGUAAGCCUGUGAAGGUGUGUCGUGAGGCAUGCUGGAGGUAUCAGAAGUGCGAAUGCUGACAUAAGUAACGAUAAAGCGGGUGAAAAGCCCGCUCGCCGGAAGACCAAGGGUUCCUGUCCAACGUUAAUCGGGGCAGGGUGAGUCGACCCCUAAGGCGAGGCCGAAAGGCGUAGUCGAUGGGAAACGGGUUAAUAUUCCCGUACUUGGUGUUACUGCGAAGGGGGGACGGAGAAGGCUAUGUUGGCCGGGCGACGGUUGUCCCGGUUUAAGCGUGUAGGUGUGUGUUCCAGGUAAAUCCGGUUCACUUUAACACUGAGGCGUGACGACGAGGCACUACGGUGCUGAAGCAACAAAUGCCCUGCUUCCAGGAAAAGCCUCUAAGCAUCAGGUAACACGAAAUCGUACCCCAAACCGACACAGGUGGUCAGGUAGAGAAUACCAAGGCGCUUGAGAGAACUCGGGUGAAGGAACUAGGCAAAAUGGUGCCGUAACUUCGGGAGAAGGCACGCUGACACGUAGGUGAAGUGAUUUACUCAUGGAGCUGAAGUCAGUCGAAGAUACCAGCUGGCUGCAACUGUUUAUUAAAAACACAGCACUGUGCAAACACGAAAGUGGACGUAUACGGUGUGACGCCUGCCCGGUGCCGGAAGGUUAAUUGAUGGGGUCAGCGUAAGCGAAGCUCCUGAUCGAAGCCCCGGUAAACGGCGGCCGUAACUAUAACGGUCCUAAGGUAGCGAAAUUCCUUGUCGGGUAAGUUCCGACCUGCACGAAUGGCGUAAUGAUGGCCAGGCUGUCUCCACCCGAGACUCAGUGAAAUUGAACUCGCUGUGAAGAUGCAGUGUACCCGCGGCAAGACGGAAAGACCCCGUGAACCUUUACUAUAGCUUGACACUGAACAUUGAGCCUUGAUGUGUAGGAUAGGUGGGAGGCUUUGAAGUGUGGACGCCAGUCUGCAUGGAGCCGACCUUGAAAUACCACCCUUUAAUGUUUGAUGUUCUAACGUGGACCCGUAAUCCGGGUUGCGGACAGUGUCUGGUGGGUAGUUUGACUGGGGCGGUCUCCUCCUAAAGAGUAACGGAGGAGCACGAAGGUUGGCUAAUCCUGGUCGGACAUCAGGAGGUUAGUGCAAUGGCAUAAGCCAGCUUGACUGCGAGCGUGACGGCGCGAGCAGGUGCGAAAG